rnacentral:miRNA from 1 species
UAUCUGUUGAUGUGUUAAUACUAGGUUGGUGCAAAAGUAAUUGCGGUUUUUGCCAUCAAAAUAAUGGCAAAACUGCAAUUACUUUUUGCACCAACCUAUAACUU